AGGAGCAGUCAUACACAUGCAAGUCGAGCGGAUGACGGGAGCUUGCUCCUUGAUUCAGCGGCGGACGGGUGAGUAAUGCCUAGGAAUCUGCCUGGUAGUGGGGGACAACUUUUCGAAAGGAACGCUAAUACCGCACACGUCCUACGGGAGAAAGCAGGGGACCUUCGGGCCUUGCGCUAUCAGAUGAGCCUAGGUCGGAUUAACUAGUUGGUGGGGUAAUGGCUCACCAAGGCGACGAUCCGUAACUGGUCUGAGAGGAUGAUCAGUCACACUGGAACUGAGACACGGUCCAGACUCCUACGGGAGGCAGCAGUGGGGAAUAUUGGACAAUGGGCGAAAGCCUGAUCCAGCCAUGCCGCGUGUGUGAAGAAGGUCUUCGGAUUGUAAAGCACUUUAAGUUGGGAGGAAGGGCAGUAAGUUAAUACCUUGCUGUUUUGACGUUACCGACAGAAUAAGCACCGGCUAACUCUGUGCCAGCAGCCGCGGUAAUACAGAGGGUGCAAGCGUUAAUCGGAAUUACUGGGCGUAAAGCGCGCGUAGGUGGUUUGUUAAGUUGGAUGUGAAAGCCCCGGGCUCAACCUGGGAACCUGCAUCAAAAAACUGGCAAGCUAGAGUACGGUAGAGGGUGGUGGAAUUUCCUGUGUAGCGGUGAAAUGCGUAGAUAUAGGAAGGAACACCAGUGGCGAAGGCGACCACCUGGACUAAUAUGAACUAUGAUAGUGCGAAAGCGUGGGGAGCAAACAGGAUGAUAUACCCUGGUAGUCCACGCCGUAAACGAUGUCAACUACCCGUUGGAAUCCUUGAGAUUUUAGUGGCGCAGCUAACGCAUUAAGUUGACCGCCUGGGGAGUACUGCCGCAAGGUUAAAACUCAAAUGAUUUGACGGGGGCCGCACAGCGGUGGAGCAUGGUGGUUUUAUUUCUAGCAGCGCGAGACCUUUACUCACGUCUUAGACGUGCAGAGACUUUCCAGAGAUGGAUUGGUGCCUUCGGGACUCUGACACAGUGCUGCAUGCUGUCGUCAGCUCGUGUCGUGAGAAUGUUGGGUAGUCCCGUACGAGCGCACCCUCGUCUAGUACUAGCACGUAUGGUGGGCAUCUAGGAGACUGCAGUGAAAACCGGGGAAGAGAGGUGGGAUGACCUCAGUCUCUAUGGCUUACGGUCUGGGCCUCACACUGCUCAAUGUCGGUACGAGGUUGCCAGCGGAGGUCACUAUCUCAAAACGACUGAUCGGGAUGCGAUUGGAACCUGAACUGCUGGGUAGG
rnacentral:rRNA from 1 species